CCACUUUAUUAUUGCCUCUAGGGCAUAUUUCCAAUAGUCUUUUGUGAAUCUUGUUGUUAAUGGAACUAUGGAGCAUGAAUUUUCUAAUUGUCGUAUCAACCUGUGCAUGUAUCUCCCCCGCUUGAUCAAAAGAAGAUCCAUGCUUGGAUUUAGUAUGGGGAUUCAUAUGUGUUUCAUGUAAUCUCAAUAGAAAAGGGAACGAGAACUUUGUUUUGUUCAACAAUCAACAUGGUUGAAACGACAUGAUCAUCAACUCCUCUCCGCAACUUAAUAUUGUCCCUAUUUUCUCUAAGAUCCACCGGUUGGCAAGGCAAAAACUAUCUCAUGUGUCACCCAAAACGAUUAUGAAGGAGCUCAAGGCGUCAUGGAUGCCCAUGUGCUCGUUGUGUCGGGAGCAAAAUGCAUAGAACCAGCAAAUUAGAUGCAUAGAAACAUUGAUGCUUCACACCAGACCCAAGUUAAUAGCAACAUGGUUGUUGCUUCACAUCAGAUCCGUGCUAAUGUGAUGGUACUCCUAUUCAAGGGUGAGACGGCAGUGUGCUUCUAUAUAACGCAAGAAGAAAGAUGGAACAUGGUCAUUAGUCCGGGACGGGCGUUUGGCUAUUCAGUCAUUAGUCAUUCUUCAAAACUGAGCUUAGGAAAUAGUAGGGUCGAGCCCUUCACAACGACUUGAAAUUGCUUUUGCAAUGUUUUCAAAUAUCCUAGGACUUGGAAGCAUCGGGAUUUAAGACUGCAUCAAUUUGAGGUUGUACAUAACGAGGUCUCUGUGUGAUGGUUAGCUACAGAUGGUCUCCUGGUCAAGUAUGUGGAGGUGUGCUAGUGACCAGACUAGCAUACUCUCGACAUUUUUGGUUCACCGUGACACGACACAUGCAGUAGGUUGGGUCCCUCUUGGGGUAUUGGGAUAUCAAGUUUCCCUAGUUGCUAUUGGGAGACAUGUCCUCCUACUUGUUGUCGGUGUGGGUGCGAUGACAUUUGACAACCAUUUCCUCUAAAAAAGGCAUGAGGUCCAAAUCUCCUAGCUCUAUCCACACGUGAAGUGUUGCUUGCAAGUAUAAUGUGAGUGUGGUUAGGUUAUGUUCCUACAUCAAUGAAAUAGCACAUGAGAGAAUGUCCUAUAUUAUAUUUGAUCAUCUAAGGAAGCUCAAUAUAAUUAUUUAGAGCUCUCAAGCAAAAAU
rnacentral:lncRNA from 1 species